GCCGGCUUAGCUCAGCUGGUAGAGCAACGGUUUUGUAAACCGUGGGUCGCGGGUUCGACUCCUGCAGCCGGCACCA
rnacentral:tRNA from 1 species